rnacentral:rRNA from 1 species
AGAUUAAGUUAUUAAGGGCGCACGGUGGAUGCCUUGGCACUAGAAGCCGAUGAAGGACGUUACUAACGACGAUAUGCUUUGGGGAGCUGUAAGUAAGCUUUGAUCCAGAGAUUUCCGAAUGGGGAAACCCAGCAUGAGUUAUGUCAUGUUAUCGAUAUGUGAAUACAUAGCAUAUCAGAAGGCACACCCGGAGAACUGAAACAUCUUAGUACCCGGAGGAAGAGAAAGAAAAUUCGAUUCCCUUAGUAGCGGCGAGCGAAACGGGAAGAGCCCAAACCAACAAGCUUGCUUGUUGGGGUUGUAGGACACUCUAUACGGAGUUACAAAGGACGACAUUAGACGAAUCAUCUGGAAAGAUGAAUCAAAGAAGGUAAUAAUCCUGUAGUCGAAAAUGUUGUCUCUCUUGAGUGGAUCCUGAGUACGACGGAGCACGUGAAAUUCCGUCGGAAUCUGGGAGGACCAUCUCCUAAGGCUAAAUACUCUCUAGUGACCGAUAGUGAACCAGUACCGUGAGGGAAAGGUGAAAAGCACCCCGGAAGGGGAGUGAAAUAGAACCUGAAACCGUGUGCUUACAAGUAGUCAGAGCCCGUUAAUGGGUGAUGGCGUGCCUUUUGUAGAAUGAACCGGCGAGUUACGAUUUGAUGCAAGGUUAAGCAGUAAAUGUGGAGCCGUAGCGAAAGCGAGUCUGAAUAGGGCGUUUAGUAUUUGGUCGUAGACCCGAAACCAGGUGAUCUACCCUUGGUCAGGUUGAAGUUCAGGUAACACUGAAUGGAGGACCGAACCGACUUACGUUGAAAAGUGAGCGGAUGAACUGAGGGUAGCGGAGAAAUUCCAAUCGAACCUGGAGAUAGCUGGUUCUCUCCGAAAUAGCUUUAGGGCUAGCCUCAAGUGAUGAUUAUUGGAGGUAGAGCACUGUUUGGACGAGGGGCCCCUCUCGGGUUACCGAAUUCAGACAAACUCCGAAUGCCAAUUAAUUUAACUUGGGAGUCAGAACAUGGGUGAUAAGGUCCGUGUUCGAAAGGGAAACAGCCCAGACCACCAGCUAAGGUCCCAAAAUAUAUGUUAAGUGGAAAAGGAUGUGGCGUUGCCCAGACAACUAGGAUGUUGGCUUAGAAGCAGCCAUCAUUUAAAGAGUGCGUAAUAGCUCACUAGUCGAGUGACACUGCGCCGAAAAUGUACCGGGGCUAAACAUAUUACCGAAGCUGUGGAUUGUCCUUUGGACAAUGGUAGGAGAGCGUUCUAAGGGCGUUGAAGCAUGAUCGUAAGGACAUGUGGAGCGCUUAGAAGUGAGAAUGCCGGUGUGAGUAGCGAAAGACGGGUGAGAAUCCCGUCCACCGAUUGACUAAGGUUUCCAGAGGAAGGCUCGUCCGCUCUGGGUUAGUCGGGUCCUAAGCUGAGGCCGACAGGCGUAGGCGAUGGAUAACAGGUUGAUAUUCCUGUACCACCUAUAAUCGUUUUAAUCGAUGGGGGGACGCAGUAGGAUAGGCGAAGCGUGCGAUUGGAUUGCACGUCUAAGCAGUAAGGCUGAGUAUUAGGCAAAUC